AGAGUUUGAUUCUGGCUCAGGAUGAACGCUGGCGGCGUGCCUAACACAUGCAAGUCGAACGAAGCAUGCAGGAAGAAGCCCUUCGGGGCGGGCGCCUGGAUGACUGAGUGGCGGACGGGUGAGUAACGCGUGGGCAACCUGCCCCAUACAGGGGGAUAACAGCCGGAAACGGCUGCUAAUACCGCAUAAACCAGGGAGGCGCAUGCCUUUGUGGGGAAAGCUCCGGCGGUAUGGGAGGGGCCCGCGUCUGAUUAGCUUGUUGGCGGGGCAGCGGCCCACCAAGGCGACGAUCAGUAGCCGGCCUGAGAGGGCGGACGGCCACAUUGGGACUGAGACACGGCCCAAACUCCUACGGGAGGCAGCAGUGGGGGAUAUUGCACAAUGGGGGAAACCCUGAUGCAGCGACGCCGCGUGGGCGAAGAAGUAUUUCGGUAUGUAAAGCCCUAUCAGCAGGGAAGAAGAAAUGACGGUACCUGAGUAAGAAGCACCGGCUAAAUACGUGCCAGCAGCCGCGGUAAUACGUAUGGUGCAAGCGUUAUCCGGAUUUACUGGGUGUAAAGGGAGCGC
rnacentral:rRNA from 1 species